rnacentral:rRNA from 1 species
UAGGGAAUCUUCCGCAAUGGACGAAAGUCUGACGGAGCAACGCCGCGUGAGUGAUGAAGGUUUUCGGAUCGUAAAACUCUGUUGUUAGGGAAGAACAAGUAUCGGAGUAACUGUCGGUACCUUGACGGUACCUAACCAGAAAGCCACGGCUAACUACGUGCCAGCAGCCGCGGUAAUACGUAGGUGGCAAGCGUUGUCCGGAAUUAUUGGGCGUAAAGCGCGCGCAGGUGGUUCCUUAAGUCUGAUGUGAAAGCCCACGGCUCAACCGUGGAGGGUCAUUGGAAACUGGGGAACUUGGGUGCAGAAGAGGAAAGUGGAAUUCCAAGUGUAGCGGUGAAAUGCGUAGAGAUUUGGAGGAACACCAGUGGCGAAGGCGACUUUCUGGUCUGUAACUGACACUGAGGCGCGAAAGCGUGGGGAGCGAACAGG